AAUAGAGAAAAGCAAACCUCUCCGAAAGGAAGGGACGCAAAGCCACUGGCCUAAAUCACAAUGUAAAAAGUUGUGGCAUGGUAGCAGGGUUGCCUCG
rnacentral:ncRNA from 1 species